UCUUCCGUAGUAUAGUGGUCAGUAUGUGAGCUUGUCAUUCUCCUCUCUUGAAGAGACAACAACGCUCGAGACCCGGGUUCAAUUCCCGGCGGGAGAG